rnacentral:lncRNA from 1 species
UGUGGAAGAAAGAAUAGAAAUUGUAAUAACAAAAUCUUAAUUCUAAUAGAAUACUAACAAUACUCUAAUUGGACUACAAUAAUGCUAAACAAGCUUAAUCAAAUUCAAUGAAAGCUCAAAGAAAUUUCAAAGAAACAAUAAGAAAUCUUAAAAAAAUAUUAGAAUGAUUACAAAUAUCUCUCAAAUAUAUAUCAAUUCAAUCUUAAUUUAAUCCUAAUUAAAAUCCUAUUGGACUUUAUUCAAACUUUAGGCCAAAAUUAAUUAAAUCUUAAACCUUAAAUCAAACUCUAAACAAACCUUAAACCAAACCCCAACCUAAUCUUAAACCAAAUCCUAACCAAACCCUAAACCAAACCCUAAAUCUUAAAUUAAAUCCUAACCAAAUCCUAAUCCAAAUCCUAAAUCCUAAACCAAAUCCUAAUCCAAAUCCUAAAUCCUAAACCAAAUCCUAAUUAAAUCCUAAAUCCUAAAUCAAAUCUUAAUCCAAAUCCUAACAAAUCCUAAAUCCUAAAUCAAAUCCUAACCAAAUCCUAAACCAAAGCCUAAUCUAAAUCCUAAAUCUUGAACCAAACUCUAAUCAAAUCCUAAACCCUAAAUCCUGAACCAAACUCUAAUCAAAUCCUAAACCCUAAAUCAAACC